GGAACUCUGACUAAGAGCCAGGCAUAGGAGUCAGGAUGUUUUGUCACUCUGGACAAAUCAAAUUUGCUUGUAUUCCAAAAAACAGAGCAAAUAAUUCCAGCUUAUUCAAGGUUCUCUGAAUCUAACUGGUCAGGAACCCCUGGCAGGAAAACAUUAAAUGUACCUUAAUGAGGAUAAUGAUUGAACAGCUCUUUAUUUCAGUGGAUUUAAGCACGGUCUCUCCUAACAAGGAUCAGUACUGUGAAUCACAACUUGGGCACUACAUUUUGGUCUGGAAGGAUGCUGGUUGCAACAUUUUAAAAAGAGGGGCAGAUGCUCAACACAUAUUGAACAUCAGACCUCUUUCAGGUGUCUCCAACUGACAGAGCAAAAGGUUGAAGUUCACAAUGUUGUUCCUAAAUUUUCUGGCUCUGACAUACGCAAGCACAUGUUUAAGCCUCAGUUUGUGACUUGGUCUGCCCAGGCAGACCUUUCUGUUCCUGAGAACUACUGGUUCAUUUGGCUGUAUGAAGGGGGGAGGCUGCCAGCAAGGAGGAGAAUCAGCCUUCACCUAAGUUGAAGAUGUAAACUACCAUCACCUUCAAGGACACGAUUCCAUGAAGUAAUUCCAGUUCUAUGGAAUAGAAGGCUGUCCUGGGAGGAAGGCUUGCAGGUAGAUGAGGCUUGACUCAGUCCCUGCUGGUUACUCAUGAAUUAUCCAGAUUACUUCCCAGCAGUAGCAGCACUUUGCUACAUCUUCUCUUCUCUGAUACACUGAGAAAAAGCACCUCAUAUUAUUCCAGAGCUUUCAGACAACAGGAUAAGCACUGCUGAUCAGCCAGAAGAGAACUGUAUGAAAAAGCCUCCAGUGAGGUAUGAGGAUUUUCACCAUUUUCACCAAGAAAUAAAAUUGUGUAGUAAGAUGGCAGUAUAAAACUGUACAUUUUUUAUAAUUCAAACACACUUUUUUUUUUUUUUUAAAGUAUGUUUUAAUCCUGGAUGUAAAAUCUGCCCUAUUAGAUGAAUUAUUAUUAUGUAUAUAUGCCUCCAGCUUUUAACUGUUACAGCUGCAGCCAGUGUUCUUUACGGUUUUUGCUUUAUCAUGAAAUAUAAAUAUUAGUUUUUAAAAUAUGAUUUUAACAGCUUUUAUUUAAAUAAAGUCAUAACAUUUUGGUAAGACAUUUCCAAAAACCUUCCUGUUAACUCUGGAAACACUCUUUACUGUUGGAUUGGAUACACCCGAUGCUCAUGAACUUCAUAUAAAAAUAGGUAACUUAGAGGAUCAUAAAGACUGGUAAGCUUCUUCCUUUCUAUUGGGGACAAAAAUCCAAGUCAGAAUGUCAUUUGCUCAGUACUUUGUAUUUUCACUAAAGUUGAUGGGAAUUGUAUUUACUGUCUAGAAUUGAUUUGAUUUAAACAUCUAUUCAACUCUCGAUUCUCUGUUUUGGAGCUGGGAUCAUUAUGCAAGCAGAGAAUCAGACCCAUCAUUUUUGAGGAGAGGAAAGGAAAAUAUUUUCUACAUUUCCUUUUCACUUUUAUUCACUACAUUAAACUGGCUUUGCCACUUACCAAGCAAGAGGUUCAUUGCCCCUCUCUGUAUUUCCACUCCCUUUCUGCCCUCCCAGUCCAUCUGGCUUAGUUCCUCUGUGUCUUUUUCUUCCCAUCCUCAGUUACUGUGUUGUCAGUAAAACCAGUUUUGAAGUAAAAACCUCACACUCCACAAGACUAUUCAUAUAUAUAGUAUUCUGACUUUUUGAGCACAUGACUUGCUACAUCUCCCUAUACUGAACUCUUACUAAAGCCUUCUGUUUCCUUGUCCGUAAGCCAGUUUUAAAGCUUACAAUAUUUGUACAGUCCUCUUUCUCUCUGUUUUUUAAGUUUUCUGAGAGCUUCAUGACACCAGCCAUCAUACAGAGUUUUACAAGAGGGAAAAGACCCCACAAGGUCAUCCUUCCUUCUCACUUGGCUUUUCUGCUAUGCCUAAUGGAAACCUCUGUGCUUGGGACUGCACCUACUCUUCUGCAGGGGUUUGCAUCAGAAGGAAAAGUGUUUAUUUUAGUGGACCUUAGGUUGUGCCCCAAUAUUCAUGCAGGGGAAAAAAUCAUCUCCCAUCACAGAGCAGAAUGGACUGAAGAGGGAGCUGGGUCCUUGUCCCCUUCUCUUUGCAUAAUUUCCUUGUGACAGAGUGGGAAGAGGACUGGGAAGAGCAGGAGGUGGAAGGCAGAAGUUCCUACAAUCACCCCACAGACAAGGAGUCUGAAGACUUCAUACUGAAGCACAAAAAGUGGAGUUCAUUUUAACCUCCCUAAUAAGAAAGAAAAAUUAAAUGAUACUUCAAGAACAGCGUGACAACUAUCAGUAAACAGUUAAAACUUCUGUGUGGAAGAAACCAGGUUACAUCAAGUUACCAAAUGUUUUCUAUAACAAUGUAUUCCUCUCCUGUGGACAAUUAGGAAGACUGUUCUGCAUUGGAGGACUAGUGUUGACAGCCCAGAGCAAUGGACAUUUCACUGAAAAAGUUGCUACUCUCUUCCUCCUGAGAUCCAAUAAAGUUUUUAUGCAUUGAGUUUUGCCUUAUUUCACUUCCACUGUGAUGUUAAGUACAGAAUGGUGAUAUUUAUUUAUGCUACACUGUUUGCAUGAAUACGUAACUAUAAACAGGUACUUUCUUUUUCAAUGGAAACCAUGUAACUGAUGUUUUCCAGUGACCACUCUCACUGAUUUUAAAUGAUGUACCAAGUGACUUUUAAACAGGGACUUGAGCAAUAAUUACAUGGCAUAGCACCAACUUUUAAUUCCACGUAAGGUAAUCUACAAUGCUCAAGCAAAUAAAUCCUCAUUUGCCAAAGGAAUGCUAAUAGUGCCUUACCAGACUGUAAAAACACUAAGUCAAGUUUUUCCAGCUUGUUCCCCAAUGGAUGUCUAUUUGUGAAAAUCAUUCUCACCACAGAGCAACUCUUCGUCUUCCAUAUUCUACACAUCUACUGUCCUCAGUGACAAUUGUGUGUGAUCUCAUUUUCAAGUCCAAGUAAAAAGGCUUUAUUGUUAAAAAAAUAAAAUAAUCCAGUGACCUAGAUGCUGUGCUAUACUUUUUAGAGACCUUGGAACUAACCCGAGGAAUAUCUCUGCUAGAGAGAGUCCUGGAAGUCAAAUUUACCAGCCCACUUGUGUAGGAUAAGCUGCCAUCACAAAUCCGGAGUCCACAAGAAUUUAAUCUCAUCUAUGAACUAGACUGAUCAGUCAAAGCUAUCAAAGGUCAAAACUAAAUCAGAUCAUUAAUUAUUACUGAUUUGCAGUGUAAGAAAUUGGAAGAUCCCUAAAUCAUUGUCCCACCUGAAUUCUGAAGCCCAUAGGAGGGUGCUUUCAUUUUAAAGUUGGUUUUGCUACUCCGAAAUCCUUCAAAUUAUCAGUUCUAAACUGCUGAGCAACAUCCUUCAUUUUCCAAUGAGAGAAACUAAGAUGAAUUGGAACUGACAUGUUGGAAGGGAAGGAGCAAGAGAAAGGGAGGAAGGGAAGCUGGUUGAUUUUUUCAUACUACUUUAGCAAAAAUUGUGUGUUAAUUUGGCUCAGAACAAAAAGUGCAAUAAGAGGAAAACAAGGGGGGGUGGGGUGGAAGAGACAAUAAAUACUGUGUAAAUGAAUAGAUUUUACAUUAAUAAAAUGAAAAAAGAAUGGAGCAA